GACAGAGGGGGCAAGCGUUGCUCGGAAUUACUGGGCGUAAAGGGCGUGUAGGCGGGACGGCAAGUCGGUCGUGAAAGCCUCCGGCCCAACCGGAGAACGUCGAUCGAUACUGCCGUUCUUGAGGGUAGUAGAGGAGACUGGAAUUCCCGGUGUAGCGGUGAAAUGUGUAGAGAUCGGGAGGAACACCGGUGGCGAAGGCGGGUCUCUGGGCUACUCCUGACGCUGAGGCGCGAAAGCGUGGGGAGCAAACGGG
rnacentral:rRNA from 1 species